rnacentral:rRNA from 1 species
AUUGAACGCUGGCGGCAUGAUUUACACAUGCAAGUCGAACGGUAACAGGCCGCAAGGUGCUGACGAGUGGCGAACGGGUGAGUAAUGCAUCGGAACGUGCCCAGUCGUGGGGGAUAACUACUCGAAAGAGUAGCUAAUACCGCAUACGAUCUAUGGAUGAAAGCGGGGGACCGUAAGGCCUCGCGCGAUUGGAGCGGCCGAUGUCAGAUUAGGUAGUUGGUGGGGUAAAGGCUCACCAAGCCAACGAUCUGUAGCUGGUCUGAGAGGACGACCAGCCACACUGGGACUGAGACACGGCCCAGACUCCUACGGGAGGCAGCAGUGGGGAAUUUUGGACAAUGGGCGCAAGCCUGAUCCAGCAAUGCCGCGUGCGGGAAGAAGGCCUUCGGGUUGUAAACUGCUUUUGUACGGAACGAAACGGCUCUGGUUAAUACCCGGGGCUAAUGACGGUACCGUAAGAAUAAGCACCGGCUAACUACGUG